rnacentral:misc_RNA from 1 species
GAUGAAGAACGUAGCAAAAUGCGAUAAGUAAUGUGAAUUGCAGAAUUUAGUGAAUCAUCGAAUCUUUGAACGCACAUUGCGCCCGCCAGUAUUCUGGCGGGCAUGCCUGUUCGAGCGUCAUUUCAACCCUCAAGCACAGCUUGGUGUUGGGACUCGCGUUAAUUCGCGUUCCCCAAAUUGAUUGGCGGUCACGUCGAGCUUCCAUAGCGUAGUAGUAAAACCCUCGUUACUGGUAAUCGUCGCGGCCACGCCGUUAAACCCCAACUUCUGAAUGUUGACCUCGGAUCAGGUAGGAAUACCCGCUGAACUUAAGCAUAUCAAUAAGCGGAGGA